rnacentral:misc_RNA from 1 species
GUGAAUCAUCAAAUCUUUGAACGCAUAUUGCACUCUCCGGUAUUCCGGAGAGUAUGCCUAUUGUAGGGUCAUUUGAAAUAAUAUAAAUUCCAAGAUUUCUUGGAAGUUAAAAUUGGUUGUACAUUUUUUGUGGUCUCCUAAAAUCCAAGACAAGCUCAUUUUCGUGUGUUACGUGAUACUUUCAGUUACCUCUGGACUUAACCAGAAAUCAUCGAGCGUGUUAUGAAGUUUUCAAGAGAUAAAAAAUUCCAUAUAUUUAUCUCAUGCUAAAUA